UAAUUGAAGAGUUUGAUCAUGGCUCAGAUUGAACGCUGGCGGCAGGCCUAACACAUGCAAGUCGAGCGGUAACAUUUCAAAAGCUUGCUUUUGAAGAUGACGAGCGGCGGACGGGUGAGUAAUGCCUAGGAAAUUGCCCUGAUGUGGGGGAUAACCAUUGGAAACGAUGGCUAAUACCGCAUGAUGCCUACGGGCCAAAGAGGGGGACCUUCGGGCCUCUCGCGUCAGGAUAUGCCUAGGUGGGAUUAGCUAGUUGGUGAGGUAAUGGCUCACCAAGGCGACGAUCCCUAGCUGGUCUGAGAGGAUGAUCAGCCACACUGGAACUGAGACACGGUCCAGACUCCUACGGGAGGCAGCAGUGGGGAAUAUUGCACAAUGGGCGCAAGCCUGAUGCAGCCAUGCCGCGUGUAUGAAGAAGGCCUUCGGGUUGUAAAGUACUUUCAGUCGUGAGGAAGG
rnacentral:rRNA from 1 species